rnacentral:lncRNA from 1 species
CUAUACGUUUCAUAACUUCAGACAAACCAGAAUACUAAGGCCUGAGGUUCUCAUUUGGCCUGUUUGCCAAGGAGUGAAGGCGAUAAAGUCCGAGCAUAACAUAGAACAAAUCCCCUUCGGCCAAUUGGAGUCACGUCGGUGUCGGUCAACUGCUAACUUUAUUUUUUCUUGAGCACGGAUGAGAUGAGCUUUUUGUACAUCUAACAUAUCAUCUCUGUCCCACAACUGUUGUUCCACCUAAUGUGUGGCGGUGGUUUGGCUGCCAUAACGGGUUAGAGGGUGAGGGUCUCUUCCAUAAAUUGCUUGAAAUAGAGUAGCGUUUAUAGAUGCAUGGAAAUAGUUAUAUACCAGUACUCCGCCCAAGGCACUCAUGUGGACUAGCUUCAGGGUUUGUCAAAAGAGAAAUAUCAGAGAAAUGUUUUUGGGCAUCUAUUAAUUACCUCUGUUUGUCCAUCUGUCUAAGGGUGAUAGGCCGUACUUCUAUAGAGGUAUGUUCCCUGCAGGCAAAAGAGUUCUAUCCAAGAAAUGGCUCAAGAAGAUUUUGUCCUUGCUAUUGAGCUGGGAAUGCCAUGGAGCCGUACUUUCUCUUUGACAAAAAGGGCUACCACUCCUGAUCAUGUGAACGGAUGGUUAAGUGGGAUUAAGUGUGCAUAUUUACUUAAGCGAUCAACUACCACCAACAAUGAAUCAAAUCUCCCAGACUUCGGUAAACCUUCAAUAAAAUCCAUUGACUUCGGUAUUGUUAGGCCUCCAAUACGUUCACCUAUUCUAGAAGGGUCAAGAAGAACGGAGAAUCAGCUGGAGAGUAACUAAUUUAUGUUUUAAAGGCAAGUGGGUAAACUAAAUCAGUUAGGGAAAUGUCAUAAAUAGACGUGGGAAGAAAGGGAGAGGCAAGCAAAUUAAUAGAGAGUGAGAGGGCAAUUAGUUGAUAGUCACAAGCCUUUAAUAAGAAUCUGUUAUCAUUCCUUUUGUAUGAGAUCCAUCCCGUUGUCCGCCUUCUUUUGUGCCAUCUUUUGUGCCAUCAGGAGAACCGCUCAGAUACCAAUUUGAUAGGUUCCUACUGGAUAAAUUUAGAAUAGAAUAUAUGAAUAAACAAACUUUGAUUCAAUACUGGGAAAGAUUACAGAAAAAAGGAAUGAUAACAGAUGCCUUCUUUCAUCUUAGGUUAAGGUGUUUAAUACUUUAUUGGCUAAUAUAUCGUUUCUAUAAACUUGGUGCCAAUCCUCUAUUAUCAUCUAACUGCCCUCUCACUCUAUCAAUUUGCCUGCCUCUCCCCUUCUUCUCACGUCUAUUUAUGACAUUUCCCUAACUGAUUUAGUUUUCCCACUUGCCUUUAAAACAGAAAUUAGUUAUUCUCCAGCUGCUUCCCCAUUCUUCUUGAUCCUUCUAGAAUAGGUGAACCGUAACAGCCUCUAAUACAUGAAGAGAUAAAUGGGAGCUCCCUGAGACAUCCCCAUCAUGUUUAUAGAUAUUUUGGCAUAAGAAAGACCUAUAAUGCAGCAACAAUAUUGCCUUAAUCAAGUGUAGUAAAUUUUUCCACUAGGAAAAUGAAAAAGGUUGUCGUAUUAGACAUGUACCGAGGAAGGAGUACUUUGCCUAGGUGCAGACUAGCUAGUCGGCCGUGAGCAAAAUGAAUCUAUACAACAUUUUUGAUUGCUUGAGCCUGAGGGAGUGGGCUGUUUCUGUGCCAUAUUUGGAUUUAGUUUCAAUAAAUAUGUGCAUUUGAUCACGUGUUUAUCAACAGGAACAGUGUAUCCUUCUCCCCCUUCUCUCCUCUUUCUUGCUGUUCAGCAUUGGGGAUAUUGAGUUUGUAAAUCUUGUUUGAUAGCUAAACUUUAUAGAGUGGUUGUUUCUGCUGCAUAAUGUUCUCUCUCUCUCUCUCUCUCUCUCUCUGUG